rnacentral:rRNA from 1 species
AGAGUUUGAUCCUGGCUCAGGACGAACGCUGGCGGCGCGCCUAACACAUGCAAGUCGAACGAGAGAGAGGGAGCUUGCUUCCUCGAUCGAGUGGCGAACGGGUGAGUAACGCGUGAGGAACCUGCCUCAAAGAGGGGGACAACAGUUGGAAACGACUGCUAAUACCGCAUAAGCCCACGGCUCGGCAUCGAGCAGAGGGAAAAGGAGCAAUCCGCUUUGAGAUGGCCUCGCGUCCGAUUAGCUAGUUGGUGAGGUAACGGCCCACCAAGGCGACGAUCGGUAGCCGGACUGAGAGGUUGAACGGCCACAUUGGGACUGAGACACGGCCCAGACUCCUACGGGAGGCAGCAGUGGGGAAUAUUGCACAAUGGGGGAAACCCUGAUGCAGCGACGCCGCGUGGAGGAAGAAGGUCUUCGGAUUGUAAACUCCUGUUGUUGAGGAAGAUAAUGACGGUACUCAACAAGGAAGUGACGGCUAACUACGUGCCAGCAGCCGCGGUAAAACGUAGGUCACAAGCGUUGUCCGGAAUUACUGGGUGUAAAGGGAGCGCAGGCGGGAAGACAAGUUGGAAGUGAAAUCCAUGGGCUCAACCCAUGAACUGCUUUCAAAACUGUUUUUCUUGAGUAGUGCAGAGGUAGGCGGAAUUCCCGGUGUAGCGGUGGAAUGCGUAGAUAUCGGGAGGAACACCAGUGGCGAAGGCGGCCUACUGGGCACCAACUGACGCUGAGGCUCGAAAGUGUGGGUAGCAAACAGGAUUAGAUACCCUGGUAGUCCACACCGUAAACGAUGAUUACUAGGUGUUGGAGGAUUGACCCCUUCAGUGCCGCAGUUAACACAAUAAGUAAUCCACCUGGGGAGUACGACCGCAAGGUUGAAACUCAAAGGAAUUGACGGGGGCCCGCACAAGCAGUGGAGUAUGUGGUUUAAUUCGACGCAACGCGAAGAACCUUACCAAGUCUUGACAUCCCUUGACGAUGCUGGAAACAGUAUUUCUCUUCGGAGCAAGGAGACAGGUGGUGCAUGGUUGUCGUCAGCUCGUGUCGUGAGAUGUUGGGUUAAG